rnacentral:sRNA from 1 species
GCCGGGCGUGGUGGUGCGCACCUGUAAUCCCAGCUACUUGGGAGGCUGAGGCAGGAGAAUUGCUUGAACCCAGGAGGUGGAGGUUGCAGUGAGCCAAGAUCGUGCCACUGCACUCUAGCCUGGGCAACAGAACAAGACUCUGUCUCAA